GGCCUUCAGCACUCAGGUCUCAGGAAUAAGGAGCAGAGAGUUUCCUGCUGAGUCACUAGGGGUGAUGGAGAGUGGAUUCACUCCUUUUCCAUCCCUUAAUUCCUGGAUCUGUGGGUCCCAGCUAUGGGACAAACUGCCAUGUAUGGAUAUUGAUUCAAACAUACGUUGGGGAUUUAGCUCAGUGGUAGAGCGCUGCUUGCCUAGCAAGCGCAAGACCCUGGGUUUGGUCCCCAACUCAAAAAAAAAAAAAAAAAAAAAAAAAAACAUACUCCCUUCUGGAGAACCCUCCCCAGCCCUCCAGGCGGCUGCCACCUAGCCAGCACUGUGACGGUGUCUUCAAAGAGCCAGUGCACUCAAAACAGGAUGUGUGCUUUAGGAACAUGCUAGACUAGUGGGGCCCAUGAGCGUGGUGGGCCCCCUGUUGCACUUCUCUGCCUGAGAAGUGGGUGUCUUGAUCUGAAGCAGUGACCCUGGACAUGGCAUUCUCUAAGUCCGUCAUGGUUUUGGCAGAAGCAUUAUGUGCAGGAAAGGCAAAUCCAUGACUAAGGUAACCUCCUCCAGAAGGACAAAGUGUCCUUUCCAUGAAGAAUGGGGUUGUGUGGUGCAGUCAAUCUGCAGCUUGGUGCACGGUGACUCCAGAGAAUGGUGCUAUACGAGGGGACUCAGUGUUGGCCUCUGCUGCUGACAGAUCUGGCACUCGGCAGUAGCUACGUUAGCCAUAGUGAGUAGAAAUCUAUGUUGUCGAGCCCAGGCACAACCCCAUCCCAUCCCUGCUACAAUCUGACUUGGUGGGUCAGAUAAUAUCCAGUUCAUGACAGGCGGUCAUGGUAACUUAGUGGCCUAUUGCUAAACUUCAGUUUCCAGGAAUGCUUAGUAACAGGCCUGACACUCUUUCUUAAAGGAAAACAGUAGUCUGCAGAUGAUGGGAGAGCCUUGCUCCAAAAUCCCAAAGGUCUCCACUGUGAUCUACCUCCUGUAGCCUGCCAAAGGCUCCCAACAACAUCUCUAUCACCCGCUACACCCCACAUACCCUGGGGUCUGCUGGAUCAAAUGUUUCUAAAGGUAGAACAGCUUGUACGGCGGCCUGGACCUGUGAGUUUUCUUGUUCCAGGGCCCACACAAAGCUAGCAGCUUUCUGAGUCACGUGGUAUAGGGGCCAGAGUAACACACACAUGAGGAAUGUGCUGCUUCCAGAAUCCAAAGAGGCCCCCUGAAGGUUGCACUUCUCUCUUGGUGGGAGGGGGCCAGGUGCAGUAACUUACCCUUCACCGUGGGAGCAGUAUCUCUGUAUGCUCCACACCCCGACUCCUAGAGAUUUUACUGAGGUAGAAGGCCCUUGGAUUUGGAUUGGAUUUAUUUCCUAUUUUGUUUUUAAAGAAUUGUUUAUGUAUAUGAGUACACUGUAGCUGUCCUCAGGCACACCAGAAGAGGGCAUUGGAUCUCAUUACAGAUGGUUGUGAGCCACCAUGUGGUUGCUGCUCAGGACCUCUGGAAGAGCAGUCAGUGCUCUUAAUCACUGAGCCAUCUCUCCAGCCCCCUGUUUCCCAUAUAUUUUAAUGGUUGCUACCUCCGAUCACUUGAUCCAAUCAGUAUAAUGUCAUCAAUAUAGUGGACCAAUGUGACAUUUUAUGGAAGAGACAGGUAAUAAAGAUCCCUUUGGGGAAUGGAGAGUUGGCUCAAAGGAGGACUUGUUGCUUUUGCAGAGAACCUGUGUUUGUUCUGUGUGUGGGACUCCAAAAGAGAGUGUUGGAUCCUGUGAUAGUUUGCAUAUGCUUGACCCAGGGAAUAGCACUAUUAGAAGAUGAAGAUGUAGAACUCUCAGCUCCUCCUGCACCAUGGCUGUCUGGACACUGCCAUGCUCCUGCCUUGAUAAUGAACUGAGCCUCUGAACCUGUAAGCCAGCCCCAAUUAAAUGUUGUCCUUAUAAGA